UUCUUCACUAGAAGAAACAGAUCCUGCUGAAUGAAAGCACAUAAUGGAGCCCUAGGGGUGAUCUGAGAAACAACUAUAAUUAUCUCUUCUCUGCUUACUGCCAUACUUAGGAAGGAGUCUUUGGACUAGGCAGAAAGUGAUCAAUUUCCUCUCAUAUUACCCUCAACCUGCGGCCUAUUUGUACUCCUGAUUGGAUAAAAGGGUUAAGAAGAACAAAAUGGUUGGAGAGAUUUUUGAAUUUUUAUGAUAAUUAUUUGGUGUCCCAGGAUCUACUGAAUGUCUCAAGAGAGGAACUUUUUUCCACUUCACAAAUUCUAAUUUUUGACUUGAUAAAGAAUGAUGAAUAUUUGUCACACAGAUAUUUAAAUGGAAUCAGGGCUGUAUAUAACCAUGACAUAAUACUUUGUCAAAAAGUGAAAAGUUAAUCUGGUUGAAGGUAUUUUUACCUGGCAUAUGGAGAAGAUGAUGACAAUAAUGUGGAACUUGAUUAGACAUCAACAGAGACUCAAUGCCUCCUGGAAAACACCUGAGAAAUGAUUGAAGCUCGCUCUGGUCUUGCCUGGAAUCAUGCAUAACAUUUGUUGCUGCCUGCAUGUGGAUUCAUUUUAGCAGUUUAUCAAUUUGGACAGGGAAUUUUGAAUAAAAAAUUUUGGCAGUCAUUAUAGUGACUCUUCUGAGACUGAAAAUUCAGGUAACAAGGAAAAUCAGUGACUCUUUCUCUCUGCUUUCUUCAAAACACAAAUAAUCCAAUGAUGUAUAGGCUGCAUUGCCCUUUGAUUUGUUACCUUAGAGAUCAUUACAUGUUAGUACAUAAAGAAACUUCCCAAUCUUCUUUUAUAGCAUCCAGGUACUCCAAUGUGUA
rnacentral:lncRNA from 1 species